rnacentral:rRNA from 1 species
UACGAAGGGGGGCUAGCGUUGCUCGGAAUCACUGGGCGUAAAGGGUGCGUAGGCGGGUCUUUAAGUCAGGGGUGAAAUCCUGGAGCUCAACUCCAGAACUGCCUUUGAUACUGAGGAUCUUGAGUCCGGGAGAGGUGAGUGGAACUGCGAGUGUAGAGGUGAAAUUCGUAGAUAUUCGCAAGAACACCAGUGGCGAAGGCGGCUCACUGGCCCGGUACUGACGCUCAUGUGCGAAGGCGUGGGGAGCAAACAGGAU